rnacentral:rRNA from 1 species
AUCAUGGCUCAGGAUGAACGCUGGCGGCGUGCCUAAUACAUGCAAGUCGAACGAGUUCUCGUUGAUGAUCGGUGCUUGCACCGAGAUUCAACAUGGAACGAGUGGCGGACGGGUGAGUAACACGUGGGUAACCUGCCCUUAAGUGGGGGAUAACAUUUGGAAACAGAUGCUAAUACCGCAUAGAUCCAAGAACCGCAUGGUUCUUGGCUGAAAGAUGGCGUAAGCUAUCGCUUUUGGAUGGACCCGCGGCGUAUUAGCUAGUUGGUGAGGUAAUGGCUCACCAAGGCGAUGAUACGUAGCCGAACUGAGAGGUUGAUCGGCCACAUUGGGACUGAGACACGGCCCAAACUCCUACGGGAGGCAGCAGUAGGGAAUCUUCCACAAUGGACGCAAGUCUGAUGGAGCAACGCCGCGUGAGUGAAGAAGGCUUUCGGGUCGUAAAACUCUGUUGUUGGAGAAGAAUGGUCGGCAGAGUAACUGUUGUCGGCGUGACGGUAUCCAACCAGAAAGCCACGGCUAACUACGUGCCAGCAGCCGCGGUAAUACGUAGGUGGCAAGCGUUAUCCGGAUUUAUUGGGCGUAAAGCGAGCGCAGGCGGUUUUUUAAGUCUGAUGUGAAAGCCCUCGGCUUAACCGAGGAAGCGCAUCGGAAACUGGGAAACUUGAGUGCAGAAGAGGACAGUGGAACUCCAUGUGUAGCGGUGAAAUGCGUAGAUAUAUGGAAGAACACCAGUGGCGAAGGCGGCUGUCUGGUCUGUAACUGACGCUGAGGCUC